AGUGAACGCUGGCGGUAGGCCUAACACAUGCAAGUCGAACGGCAGCACAGUAAGAGCUUGCUCUUACGGGUGGCGAGUGGCGGACGGGUGAGGAAUACAUCGGAAUCUACUUUUUCGUGGGGGAUAACGUAGGGAAACUUACGCUAAUACCGCAUACGACCUACGGGUGAAAGCAGGGGAUCUUCGGACCUUGCGCGAUUGAAUGAGCCGAUGUCGGAUUAGCUAGUUGGCGGGGUAAAGGCCCACCAAGGCGACGAUCCGUAGCUGGUCUGAGAGGAUGAUCAGCCACACUGGAACUGAGACACGGUCCACACUCCUACGGGAGGCAGCAGUGGGGAAUAUUGGACAAUGGGCGCAAGCCUGAUCCAGCCAUACCGCGUGGGUGAAGAAGGCCUUCGGGUUGUAAAGCCCUUUUGUUGGGAAAGAAAAGCAGCAGGUUAAUACCCCGCUGUUCUGACGGUACCCAAAGAAUAAGCACCGGCUAGCUUCGUG
rnacentral:rRNA from 1 species